UACGUAGGGGGCAAGCGUUGUCCGGAUUUAUUGGGCGUAAAGAGCGUGUAGGCGGUUUUACAGGUCCGCUGUGAAAACUCGAGGCUCAACCUCGAGCUGUCGGUGGAAACCGUAAGGCUAGAGUCCGGAAGAGGAGAGUGGAAUUCCUGGUGUAGCGGUGAAAUGCGCAGAUAUCAGGAAGAACACCCGUGGCGAAAGCGGCGCACUGGACCACAACUGACGCUGAGGCGCGAAAGCUAGGGGAGCAAACAGG
rnacentral:rRNA from 1 species